GGCUCAGAUUGAACGCUGGCGGCAUGCUUUACACAUGCAAGUCGAACGGCAGCGCGGGGCAACCUGGCGGCGAGUGGCGAACGGGUGAGUAAUACAUCGGAACGUACCCAGAAGUGGGGGAUAACGUAGCGAAAGUUACGCUAAUACCGCAUACGAUCUACGGAUGAAAGUGGGGGAUCGCAAGACCUCAUGCUCCUGGAGCGGCCGAUAUCUGAUUAGCUAGUUGGUGAGGUAAAGGCUCACCAAGGCGACGA
rnacentral:rRNA from 1 species